rnacentral:rRNA from 1 species
UUCAUGGAGAGUUUGAUCCUGGCUCAGGACGAACGCUGGCGGCGUGCCUAAUACAUGCAAGUCGAGCGGACGGAUGAAGAAGCUUGCUUCUUCAGAAGUUAGCGGCGGACGGGUGAGUAACACGUAGGCAACCUGCCCUCAAGACUGGGAUAACUACCGGAAACGGUAGCUAAUACCGGAUCAUUCGUUUUCCCGCAUGGGAGAGCGAUCAAAGAUGGAGCAAUCUGUUGCUUGAGGAUGGGCCUGCGGCGCAUUAGCUGGUUGGUGGGGUAAUGGCCUACCAAGGCGACGAUGCGUAGCCGACCUGAGAGGGUGAUCGGCCACACUGGGACUGAGACACGGCCCAGACUCCUACGGGAGGCAGCAGUAGGGAAUCUUCCGCAAUGGGCGAAAGCCUGACGGAGCAACGCCGCGUGAGUGAUGAAGGUUUUCGGAUCGUAAAGCUCUGUUGCCAGGGAAGAACGUCCUUAAGAGUAACUGCUUAAGGAGUGACGGUACCUGAGAAGAAAGCCCCGGCUAACUACGUGCCAGCAGCCGCGGUAAUACGUAGGGGGCAAGCGUUGUCCGGAAUUAUUGGGCGUAAAGCGCGC